CCGUAUUCAUAAAAAAUCCUUAAAUGAGGAAUGAUCAGCUUAUUAGCUAAUCCACUGUUUAGGCUUAAUAAGCCGUUGAUAAGAACCAUGAUUUAUAAACGUUUAUUAGGGGUUUCUUAACUAAUAAGCAGAUUAGACCCGUUAUGUUGGCAUCUUGGCACAUCAUAGACAAAAAUAUGGCUGAACAUUAAUUAAAAAAAAAAGUUUGACAGCAGCACUAGCGGUAAAUCAUAAAAUCCUGAACAAUACGAUGCACAAUUUUGACCAGUUUUCUGGGUUAUUAUAUAUUAAAAUAGCCUCUGCAUCACAAAAACAAAUAAAUAAUAUUGCACGGCCGGAAGUUUUACGAAACUCGUUUCAAUAUAUUGUGGAAUGAGGGAAAGAGGGCAGUUGCACAUCUCAAGUCAAGAAUUCUGCCUGCGCGCCAUCGCCACCGUAAUACCACGGAUUCCAACACAUUUUGUUCUGGUGGCGAAACACAAACGAUAUUGACACUAUUCAUAUCAAAUGAUCGGUGAAGAUAAAUCAGGUGAGCAAGAUUUGGUUAUUCAUUUCUUAACGUAAAAUGUUGUAGUAUUUUUAUGAACAUACCUCGACACCCAAAAAAUUAUGGCCUCUUCAUUUUUAAUUUGACGUACUAUCGGUGUUUUUUAGAAGAGCAGAGCUAACUAAGCUAGUUAGGAGCUGUUUAUAAUUAGAAUUAGUGAAUAACAUACUUAACCAACCACACGAUGGAACCAAUUUAUCAGUGAAGUGGUGAUUUAUCUUAAAAACCUUUUUUGUUCGCCUAGGGCGCAGAGUUAAAGAUAAGCGCUUAUAUAUGCAACUUGACAAUGACAAUGUUUGCAGUGAAACAUCUCAGCCAAUAGCCGCAUUAAAAGGCAAACUGCACAAUUCAUAAUGAGGCAGAAAUGUUCAUUAUUCACAGGAGUGUCGCUGUUGGUUGUGAGUAUUCCAUCAUCAGCUAUUUGUCCGGAGCUGGCUACACAAUCCGGAGGCCACACUCUUCUGGCAUCUAACCGGCCUGCACACCGCCAUCAAAUGAAGUUGGUUGUACUGAAAUAAAGAAAAAAUAUUAACUAGUUUAAUGAUUGUCAAAUGUAAUAAAAUUGUUUUAUUUAAGUGGGUUGUUUGAUUUCCCUAAAUUAACACAUGAAAUAUGUUGAUAUGUUAUAAUAAAAAUCUCAGUUAAAAACUCA